rnacentral:misc_RNA from 1 species
AACGCAUAUUGCGGUGGCGGCUUCGGCCAACACCAUGUCUGCCUCAGCGUCGGGUUAAUAUCGCCUCCCCCAACACCUGUUGUUGGGACGAGUAGCGGACCUGGCUGUUCCACUGAUUAUUAUUAAUUGGUGGAUCAGCUGAAGAUGAGAGGCUAGCUCAAGGACCCGUCAAGGGCCGCAACUGGGUAGGCACUGGGCUUCAUUGCUCAUGCUUCUAGUUGUUGGUCUGGGAUUUUGUGCUCGGCCCUAAAUCAGGAACCAAUAUUAACCUAUUAUCUCGACCUGAGCUCAGGCAAGAACACCCGCUGAACUUAA